rnacentral:rRNA from 1 species
GAUGAACGCUGGCGGCGUGCCUAAUACAUGCAAGUCGAGCGAACGGACGAGAAGCUUGCUUCUCUGAUGUUAGCGGCGGACGGGUGAGUAACACGUGGAUAACCUACCUAUAAGACUGGGAUAACUUCGGGAAACCGGAGCUAAUACCGGAUAAUAUUUUGAACCGCAUGGUUCAAAAGUAAAAGACGGUCUUGCUGUCACUUAUAGAUGGAUCCGCGCUGCAUUAGCUAGUUGGUAAGGUAACGGCUUACCAAGGCAACGAUGCAUAGCCGACCUGAGAGGGUGAUCGGCCACACUGGAACUGAGACACGGUCCAGACUCCUACGGGAGGCAGCAGUAGGGAAUCUUCCGCAAUGGGCGAAAACCUGACGGAGCAACGCCGCGUGAGUGAUGAAGGUCUUCGGAUCGUAAAACUCUGUUAUUAGGGAAGAACAUAUGUGUAAGUAACUGUGCACAUCUUGACGGUACCUAAUCAGAAAGCCACGGCUAACUACGUG